CGGGGUAUAGCUCAGUGAUAGAGCGCAUGCUUAGCAUGCGUGAGGUCCUGGGUUUAAUCUCCAGUUCUUUCC
rnacentral:tRNA from 1 species